rnacentral:rRNA from 1 species
CGCGCGCCUACCAUGCAGUCGAGCGGAUGAGAGGAGCUUGCUCCUUGAUUUAGCGGCGGACGGGUGAGUAAUGCCUAGGAAUCUGCCUGGUAGUGGGGGAUAACGUUCCGAAAGGAACGCUAAUACCGCAUACGUCCUACGGGAGAAAGCAGGGGACCUUCGGGCCUUGCGCUAUCAGAUGAGCCUAGGUCGGAUUAGCUAGUUGGUGAGGUAAUGGCUCACCAAGGCGACGAUCCGUAACUGGUCUGAGAGGAUGAUCAGUCACACUGGAACUGAGACACGGUCCAGACUCCUACGGGAGGCAGCAGUGGGGAAUAUUGGACAAUGGGCGAAAGCCUGAUCCAGCCAUGCCGCGUGUGUGAAGAAGGUCUUCGGAUUGUAAAGCACUUUAAGUUGGGAGGAAGGGCAUUAACCUAAUACGUUAGUGUUUUGACGUUACCGACAGAAUAAGCACCGGCUAACUUCGUGCCAGCAGCCGCGGUAAUACGAAGGGUGCAAGCGUUAAUCGGAAUUACUGGGCGUAAAGCGCGCGUAGGUGGUUCGUUAAGUUGGAUGUGAAAGCCCCGGGCUCAACCUGGGAACUGCAUCCAAAACUGGCGAGCUAGAGUACGGUAGAGGGUGGUGGAAUUUCCUGUGUAGCGGUGAAAUGCGUAGAUAUAGGAAGGAACACCAGUGGCGAAGGCGACCACCUGGACUGAUACUGACACUGAGGUGCGAAAGCGUGGGGAGCAAACAGGAUUAGAUACCCUGGUAGUCCACGCCGUACACGAUGUCAACUAGCCGUUGGGUUCCUUGAGAACUUAGUGGCGCAGCUAACGCAUUAAGUUGACCGCCUGGGGAGUACGGCCGCAAGGUUAAAACUCAAUGAAUUUGACGGGGGCCCGCACAAGCGGUGGAGCAUGUGUUUAAUCUAAAGCAAA